GGCUCUCUGUUUUAUGUAUAUAGAGAGUCUGACCUGCCCAGUGAAUAAUUUUUUAACGGCCGCGGUACUCUGACCGUGCGAAGGUAGCAUAAUCAUUUGUCUUAUAAUUGAAGUCUAGUAUGAAUGGUUUGACAAGAGUGUAGCUGUCUCUUUUUAAUUUUUUAGAAUUUUAUUUUUAAGUUAAAAAGCUUAAAUAGUAUUAAAAGACAAGAAGACCCUAUCGAGCUUUAAAAAAUUUUAUGGAUAUAAGAUAUUAAUAUAAAGUUUACUAUAAAGUAUUUUGGUUGGGGCGACUAAGGAACAUAAAAAGCUUCCUUGAAUUAUUUUUACUUACGGGUAAUGAUCCAAUUUUUUGAUUAAAGAAAUUAGUUACCGUAGGGAUAACAGCAUUAUCUUUUUUGAGAGUUCAUAUCGAAAAAAAGGAUUGUGACCUCGAUGUUGGACCAGAAUUUCCUAAAGAUGUAGCAGUCUUUAAGGGUUGGUCUGUUCGACCAUUAAAAUUCU
rnacentral:rRNA from 1 species